UACAGAGAAGUCACUUGCAUGAUUGGCAGCAGCCAUAGCAAAACGACAUUUUGUUUGGUAAUUGGGAGUAGUUAGUCAUGUGCAUCUGCCAGGAAACCCACAAAUACAGAAAGCAGAUACAGUUUGAAUCAGUCUUAAUUUUUUUUCCGUGAUGUGCCAGUCUAGCAUGGUUUGGUGAAACUGUUGGCAAGUUCCUGUCUAUACACAGAUGAUGCUCUUCUGGGGGGACAUCUUAAGCGAUUCCUUGGGUAACAAGGUUCCUGUUUCCCCUUCACCUGCUUGCACAGGCAUGGCCUGGAAGUUAGGGCCUUCUUCCAGACGCCAGACCUAUGCGUCUGCCCUUGGUGUUGUUUGCACACUCCCCAGAUUACUUGUGACUCUUGUCAGCAUGGUGUCAUUGCCUCUUCUUCAGUCCAUUGUGAAUCAUGCGCACACAGCAGAGAAAUAACAGAACCCACCGCAGCCCAUGAACGGCUCUGAGCUGAAUAAUUGCCCCACAAGAAUAUAGGCGAAGUUUAGGCACUGAAUUCUAAAGCAAAAAUCUUAAUAACCUCCGUUAACGUCACAUCUGAGCCGUUGGGGGGAUCCCACAAGAACCUCCUUGACUCUCAGGUUAGUACCUUAGAUUUUGGCCAGCAAAGCUCCCCAGGCACCUGAAGUGAUGUUUUUUUUUCCCUUAAAGUAUGCUCAAGUCUUUACAGAGCUUGAGUACCUCGGCAUCUAACCCUGUACUGGCCUGACCAAGCCCCAUAAUAGGCUUUAAUGCCCAGUUCUCCUAUGGCAAAGCAGUAACCUCCCAUACACCGGCACCGCUAGCCAUAUGCCAAGGAACUUGAGCUGUUGGUUUUGAGACUAGCACUGGGAAUAGCCCAUUUGUGUCUAAUUUAAUCUGUUUGCCUGCCUCUGGGAGGACAGCUCAGCAGCAGCAGUGGCCAUGCUCUGUUGUUCUUGGGGUCCCUUUGUGAGACAAGUAACGUGGUAUGGAACAGUUGCAGCAAAUAAGGCCUAUGUUUGGAAAAGCUGGGAGAAUCUGGUUUUCGUAAUCUGAUUCUGAAGGAUUGCAGAAACCCAGAAAAUCUUCACUGCAGAGGAAAAGAACCUGAAGUGUGGCAGGCUGAAAUGUGCUGGGCUGUUUUAGCUACUCUUCCCUGAGCCGUCUUCAGGAGACAGGUUACGGUCCCAGAAGGGGUAAUGUGUCCCACUGCCGUAAUGUAAUACUGUACGGCAGAGGUGGCAAGCUGGCUCUCACUUGUAAGCAGAUGUGCUUGGAUUCCUGGGUCUAAAUAGAAAUAAGAGGGCCUGAACGCUUUGACACACUUUCACCUGAUUUGGCAUCCUGUAUGAUUACAGCGUGGCACAUCCUCCAGAGGAAAUCCACAAUACACCUUCCUGUACAGGCACAAAUCUGACUGUUUGUCUGAUAAACUGUUCGCAUGGAAAGACGCGAUUUGCAUGGUUGUCAUCAAAGCCAGUGUGUGUGUUCAUUAGUGGAAGCAUGUCAGAUAGCGUAUGUCAGUAAGAUGCCUUUGAUAUGUUGGUGUCUGGAUAAUUUUUUUGACCAGCUGAAUGGCAUAUGUGUAAAUGUAAACAUCUGUUCUGUAUUUGUACUGUCCUCUCUGUAUUCUCUGUUUUCCCUUGGCUAAGAGUUUGAUUGAAACCCAGGAAAAAAUUGAGAUUCAUCCCAUUUUUAAAGAAACACAGCUCUUGUAUUAUUUCAGCGUGUGACCAGUAUGUUUGUUUUCCUUUUGGGGAAGGCAUUUAAAAGAGGAUUUUUCUUUUCCAUAACCAAAACAAACUCGGUUUCCAGUCAAAAUAAAGGAAUUGAUGUGGCUCUAAGUGUGGUAACUGAAAAGAAUGUUGUACCUGUAAGAGGGGUGAGUUCCGUAGUAAUGACAGUAUAAUGGUUUUAUCCAGAAAGUUUUCUGAUGCAGUUAAAUAACUUGCAGUGUAAUUAAUGACUUAAUAAAGGAAUGAAAUAAUA